UGAAAUUCCUGAAAGACAAAGUUUUAGUACUGAUGACACUUCAAAAGCACCAAGUGGAAAAGUAAAGUACGCACCAACUUCAACAGGAAAUAGCCCAGGUAUUGGACAUUCAUCUUCAGUGCCAAAAGCAAAUGAUCAACCAAAGCACACUAGUACUGGUGAAGUAAGCAUAGACGAUGUCAAAGCAGGACACAGCCCGGG
rnacentral:lncRNA from 1 species